UCCGUAAAAUAUAAAUACUAAACUGAAUAAUACAUAAUAAUAUAAGAUAGAACAACAUAAAAUAAACAUUUAAGAUAUUAAACAAACUUUAGUUCGACCUAAUCCAUUAUUUUUUAGCAAUUAAACGCUCGUAAAUGUUCAAAUAUUUGUGACUAACCAAUUAUUUUUCCUCACACAACGCAGAUAGAAAAUCUUUUUCUCAAAGCACAUUUAUCUCAACUUCUCUCUCUCUUACUUGGCUCCAUAUCUCAACUUCUCUCUCUUACUUGGCAUGAAAUCAAUAGUGUAAACAAAGACGGCACCAUGCCAUUUUAGCAUGUGUCAACCUCAUUAAUCCAAUGCCAACUAUAUAAAAUAAAUCCAAACCCAAAAUAAAAAUAUCUCAAAUACCAACACAACACACACACUAUCAUAAUUGACUACUACUACCCUUCACAUGAAGAAACCAACCCCACAACUCAUCAAAAUCCUCAACCAACAGUUCUCAUCCCAUCUACCCUUAAUUUCUUAACUAUUAAGAAUUUUUAAAAAAAAAAACCACGUGCUGACAAAUUUCACCGAAAACCACUCGCAAAUAAGCACUUAUUUUUAAGUCUACAAAUUAUCCUCUGUUUUUUCUUUAACUCAACACCGCUUAACUCUGUUUUCAUCCAAAUGACUCUGUUUUCAUUAACCUUUCUUCCUAUUCACCACACCACCAUUACCAAUACUUUCCUUCUAAGAAAAUCAACAUUUUCUCAUACCCUUUUGCAUAAAAAUCAUAUUUCCAAUAACCCAAUUGUAAACUCCACCAACAAACACUCUCAUAUUCUUCUUCAUUUUCCUUCUCUGUUUUGCUCUGUUUCUCAUAAAUCACAAUACAUAGAUGACUGAUGCAAAUGUUGCCGCAUUUGAUGAAUUUCUCCAUGGAUGGAUUAUUCGUCAAAGAAACUAUCUUGAUGAGCUUCUCUCAGCUCAACAACAGCAACAAGAGUUGGAUGAUUCUGAUAGAAGGAAUUUGUUAAACAGAGUACUCUGUCACUAUGGACAAUACUAUGAAGAGAAAUCAAAGAUAGCCCAUCAAAAUAUUCUCCUUCUUUUCUCACCACCAUGGUUUAGUUCAUUGGAAAGAGCCUUUCUUUGGGUAGCAGGGUUCAAACCAGGACUUACAUUUCAACUUGUGAACAAAACUUUGGAGGAUUUGUCAGAGGAUCAGAGGCAGAGGUUGAGUGAACUCAAACAAGAGACAAAGAUGAAGGAGAGAGAACUCAAUGAUGAAUUGGCUAAGGUUCAUGAGAGUAUGGCAGGUCUACCACUUGUUGACAUGAUUAGAAGCCAUGGAAGAGUGUGUUUGAGUAGGUCAUUCAUGGCAGAGGAAGGUACAGUUCCAAGUACAGUGAAGGAAACAUUGGAGAAUCUGGUAACAAAUGCUGAUACUUUGAGGACUGAGACAGCUUUGAGAGUUGUGCAGAUGUUGAAACCAGCUCAGGUUCUCAACUUUUUUGUUGCUGUGGCUCAGCUUCAACUCAAGAUCAGGUCUUUGGGUUUGGAUAAGGAUGCUCAGAGUGAAAACCAAGGUUGAAUUGAAUCAUUGGAAUUUUCUGUAAGGUGGUUUUGGUUUUCAUUCUCCUUCUCCUUUCCCUUUUUUCUUUCCUUCAUGUCUUUCUUUAUAUAUAUAUAUAUAUACUUUUUAAAAUAUAGUUUGAGUUGUGUAAUAGAUAGGCCUAAGCAGUGAUGAUGGUGAUGAUGUGCAUUGAUUAGUGUGCAUUCAGGUUAUCUACCCCUAAUGUUGUUUCCUUGAUGAGCAUCCUUGAUGAGCAAGAUCAGGUCAUGCAAUGCAUGCUUUAUCAGGAAGCUAGAAUAUCACUUUCCAAAGAAAGAGUGACAGGCACACCAGGAUGAUCAGAUCUUCACUCAAACAACUGCCUCUGAUUUAAUUAUUUAUUUCUUAUUAUAUUAAUAUUAUAGUAUCAUAUUUACUUAGUAGAUGUUUUUUCUUUUGUGAUGUUAAGACAUGUUUGUGAGUGAAGAAGAACUUAGAUGCAUAUGAUGUGGGACCUUAAAAAGAAUCAUAUUUUCAAUUUCCAGUGCAUUUGGACAUUUGCAUCAUAACAGGUGUAUUUUAUAUGCUUUCCUCAACACAUGGUUCAUUCUUCACACAGCAAAAGGGGGAAAGAAGGUGCAGAAAUACCAAAGCAGAAGUCUCAAGCAUUGAAAAUGAAGCAGAUACAUAAAGUGGAAAAAAUGUGAUCAAGAAGCUUGUU